rnacentral:rRNA from 1 species
UGGGGAAUAUUGGACAAUGGGCGAAAGCCUGAUCCAGCCAUGCCGCGUGUGUGAAGAAGGUCUUCGGAUUGUAAAGCACUUUAAGUUGGGAGGAAGGGCAUUAACCUAAUACGUUAGUGUUUUGACGUUACCGACAGAAUAAGCACCGGCUAACUCUGUGCCAGCAGCCGCGGUAAUACAGAGGGUGCAAGCGUUAAUCGGAAUUACUGGGCGUAAAGCGCGCGUAGGUGGUUUGUUAAGUUGGAUGAGAAAUCCCCGGGCUCAACCUGGGAACUGCAUUCAAAACUGACUGACUAGAGUAUGGUAGAGGGUGGUGGAAUUUCCUGUGUAGCGGUGAAAUGCGUAGAUAUAGGAAGGAACACCAGUGGCGAAGGCGACCACCUGGACUAAUACUGACACUGAGGUGCGAAAGCGUGGGGAGCAAACA